CGAGUUAUCUGAACCUUCGGGGAACGAUAACGGCGUCGAGCGGCGGACGGGUGAGUAAUGCCUAGGAAAUUGCCCUGAUGUGGGGGAUAACCAUUGGAAACGAUGGCUAAUACCGCAUGAUGCCUACGGGCCAAAGAGGGGGACCUUCGGGCCUCUCGCGUCAGGAUAUGCCUAGGUGGGAUUAGCUAGUUGGUGAGGUAAGGGCUCACCAAGGCGACGAUCCCUAGCUGGUCUGAGAGGAUGAUCAGCCACACUGGAACUGAGACACGGUCCAGACUCCUACGGGAGGCAGCAGUGGGGAAUAUUGCACAAUGGGCGCAAGCCUGAUGCAGCCAUGCCGCGUGUGUGAAGAAGGCCUUCGGGUUGUAAAGCACUUUCAGUCGUGAGGAAGGUAGUGUAGUUAAUAGCUGCAUUAUUUGACGUUAGCGACAGAAGAAGCACCGGCUAACUCCGUGCCAGCAGCCGCGGUAAUACGGAGGGUGCGAGCGUUAAUCGGAAUUACUGGGCGUAAAGCGCAUGCAGGUGGUUUGUUAAGUCAGAUGUGAAAGCCCGGGGCUCAACCUCGGAAUAGCAUUUGAAACUGGCAGACUAGAGUACUGUAGAGGGGGGUAGAAUUUCAGGUGUAGCGGUGAAAUGCGUAGAGAUCUGAAGGAAUACCGGUGGCGAAGGCGGCCCCCUGGACAGAUACUGACACUCAGAUGCGAAAGCGUGGGGAGCAAACAGGAUUAGAUACCCUGGUAGUCCACGCCGUAAACGAUGUCUACUUGGAGGUUGUGGCCUUGAGCCGUGGCUUUCGGAGCUAACGCGUUAAGUAGACCGCCUGGGGAGUACGGUCGCAAGAUUAAAACUCAAAUGAAUUGACGGGGGCCCGCACAAGCGGUGGAGCAUGUGGUUUAAUUCGAUGCAACGCGAAGAACCUUACCUACUCUUGACAUCCAGAGAACUUUCCAGAGAUGGAUUGGUGCCUUCGGGAACUCUGAGACAGGUGCUGCAUGGCUGUCGUCAGCUCGUGUUGUGAAAUGUUGGGUUAAGUCCCGCACCGAGCGCAACCCUUAUCCCUUGGUUGCCAGCGGAGUAAUGU
rnacentral:rRNA from 1 species